AGCAGUCGCCGCGGGAAUACGUAGGGUGCGAGCGUUAAUCGGAAUUACUGGGCGUAAAGCGUGCGCAGGCGGUUGUGUAAGACAGGUGUGAAAUCCCCGGGCUUAACCUGGGAACUGCGCUUGUGACUGCACAGCUAGAGUAUGGCAGAGGGGGGUGGAAUUCCACGUGUAGCAGUGAAAUGCGUAGAGAUCGGGAGGAACAUCAGUGGCGAAGGCGGCCAUCUGGGACAACACUGACGCUGAGGCACGAAAGCGUGGGGAGCAAACAGGAUUAGAACCCCCGUAGUCCCUGUCUCUUAUACA
rnacentral:rRNA from 1 species